UACGGAGGGUGCAAGCGUUGCUCGGAAUUAUUGGGCGUAAAGCGCACGCAGGCGGCAAGGUAAGUCAGAUGUGAAAUCCCCGGGCUUAACCUGGGAACAGCAUUUGAUACUGCCAUGCUAGAGUACGGAAGAGGGGAGCGGAAUUCCCAGUGUAGAGGUGAAAUUCGUAGAUAUUGGGAGGAACACCGGUGGCGAAGGUGGCUCACUGGCCCGGUACUGACGCUGAGGCGCGAAAGCGUGGGGAGCAAACAGG
rnacentral:rRNA from 1 species